UACAGAGGGGGCAAGCGUUGUUCGGAAUUACUGGGCGUAAAGGGCGCGUAGGCGGCCUGUUAAGUCGAACGUGAAAUCCCCGGGCUCAACCCGGGAACUGCGUCCGAUACUGGCAGGCUUGAAUCCGGGAGAGGGAUGCGGAAUUCCAGGUGUAGCGGUGAAAUGCGUAGAUAUCUGGAGGAACACCGGUGGCGAAGGCGGCAUUCUGGACCGGCAUUGACGCUGAGGCGCGAAAGCCAGGGGAGCAAACGGG
rnacentral:rRNA from 1 species